AUGAACGCUAGCUACAGGCUUAACACAUGCAAGUCGAGGGGCAGCAUGGUCUUAGCUUGCUAAGGCUGAUGGCGACCGGCGCACGGGUGAGUAACACGUAUCCAACCUGCCGUCUACUCUUGGCCAGCCUUCUGAAAGGAAGAUUAAUCCAGGAUGGCAUCAUGAGUUCACAUGUCCGCAUGAUUAAAGGUAUUUUCCGGUAGACGAUGGGGAUGCGUUCCAUUAGAUAGUAGGCGGGGUAACGGCCCACCUAGUCAACGAUGGAUAGGGGUUCUGAGAGGAAGGUCCCCCACAUUGGAACUGAGACACGGUCCAAACUCCUACGGGAGGCAGCAGUGAGGAAUAUUGGUCAAUGGGCGAUGGCCUGAACCAGCCAAGUAGCGUGAAGGAUGACUGCCCUAUGGGUUGUAAACUUCUUUUAUAAAGGAAUAAAGUCGGGUAUGCAUACCCGUUUGCAUGUACUUUAUGAAUAAGGAUCGGCUAACUCCGUGCCAGCAGCCGCGGUAAUACGGAGGAUCCGAGCGUUAUCCGGAUUUAUUGGGUUUAAAGGGAGCGUAGAUGGAUGUUUAAGUCAGUUGUGAAAGUUUGCGGCUCAACCGUAAAAUUGCAGUUGAUACUGGAUGUCUUGAGUGCAGUUGAGGCAGGCGGAAUUCGUGGUGUAGCGGUGAAAUGCUUAGAUAUCACGAAGAACUCCGAUUGCGAAGGCAGCCUGCUAAGCUGCAACUGACAUUGAGGCUCGAAAGUGUGGGUAUCAAACAGGAUUAGAUACCCUGGUAGUCCACACGGUAAACGAUGAAUACUCGCUGUUUGCGAUAUACGGCAAGCGGCCAAGCGAAAGCGUUAAGUAUUCCACCUGGGGAGUACGCCGGCAACGGUGAAACUCAAAGGAAUUGACGGGGGCCCGCACAAGCGGUGGAGUAUGUGGUUUAAUUCGAAGCAACGCGAAGAACCUUACCAAGUCUUGACAUCCUUCUGACCGGUACUUAACCGUACCUUCUCUUCGGAGCAGGAGUGACAGGUGGUGCAUGGUUGUCGUCAGCUCGUGUCGUGAGAUGUUGGGUUAAGUCCCGCAACGAGCGCAACCCUUACUGUCAGUUACUACGCAAGAGGACUCUGGCAGGACUGCCGUUGACAAAACGGAGGAAGGUGGGGAUGACGUCAAAUCAGCACGGCCCUUACGUCCGGGGCUACACACGUGUUACAAUGGGGGGUACAGAGGGCCGCUACCACGCGAGUGGAUGCCAAUCCCUAAAACCCCUCUCAGUUCGGACUGGAGUCUGCAACCCGACUCCACGAAGCUGGAUUCGCUAGUAAUCGCGCAUCAGCCACGGCGCGGUGAAUACGUUCCCGGGCCUUGUACACACCGCCCGUCAAGCCAUGGGAGCCGGGGGUACCUGAAGUGCGUAACCGCGAGGAUCGUCCUAGGGUAAAACUGGUGACUGGGGCU
rnacentral:rRNA from 1 species